rnacentral:rRNA from 1 species
GGUGUGUCGUGAGGCAUGCUGGAGGUAUCAGAAGUGCGAAUGCUGACAUAAGUAACGAUAAAGCGGGUGAAAAGCCCGCUCGCCGGAAGACCAAGGGUUCCUGUCCAACGUUAAUCGGGGCAGGGUGAGUCGACCCCUAAGGCGAGGCCGAAAGGCGUAGUCGAUGGGAAACGGGUUAAUAUUCCCGUACUUGGUGUUACUGCGAAGGGGGGACGGAGAAGGCUAUGUUGGCCGGGCGACGGUUGUCCCGGUUUAAGCGUGUAGGUGUGUGUUCCAGGUAAAUCCGGUUCACUUUAACACUGAGGCGUGACGACGAGGCACUACGGUGCUGAAGCAACAAAUGCCCUGCUUCCAGGAAAAGCCUCUAAGCAUCAGGUAACACGAAAUCGUACCCCAAACCGACACAGGUGGUCAGGUAGAGAAUACCAAGGCGCUUGAGAGAACUCGGGUGAAGGAACUAGGCAAAAUGGUGCCGUAACUUCGGGAGAAGGCACGCUGACACGUAGGUGAAGUGAUUUACUCACGGAGCUGAAGUCAGUCGAAGAUACCAGCUGGCUGCAACUGUUUAUUAAAAACACAGCACUGUGCAAACACGAAAGUGGACGUAUACGGUGUGACGCCUGCCCGGUGCCGGAAGGUUAAUUGAUGGGGUCAGCGCAAGCGAAGCUCCUGAUCGAAGCCCCGGUAAACGGCGGCCGUAACUAUAACGGUCCUAAGGUAGCGAAAUUCCUUGUCGGGUAAGUUCCGACCUGCACGAAUGGCGUAAUGAUGGCCAGGCUGUCUCCACCCGAGACUCAGUGAAAUUGAACUCGCUGUGAAGAUGCAGUGUACCCGCGGCAAGACGGAAAGACCCCGUGAACCUUUACUAUAGCUUGACACUGAACAUUGAGCCUUGAUGUGUAGGAUAGGUGGGAGGCUUUGAAGUGUGGACGCCAGUCUGCAUGGAGCCGACCUUGAAAUACCACCCUUUAAUGUUU